UCUAGUUCAUAUAUCCUGUAUUAUAUGAAGUAUAGCUAAGUAUUCUGACACGAGAUGUAUUAAUUGCUGGAAUGUCAUGUUUAACCCUCUACCGCCUGACGGGAGUAAUCGGUGCACUUUUGUCAGAAGCCUAUUGCCAAAAAGGAUACGUUCUAGUGAGCGCAAAAUGACUUGCCCUGAUGGUUGCCGCCACGUACAACUUAUAAAUGUUUUAUGUUACGAACAAACGUCCUCACGUUGCUACACUCGAUAGUGUUUUAAACGAAACAUGACGCAGAACGUGACGGAAAUGUCACUGCGGCGCCCAACUGAGUGGGUUCCGUGGGACUGGCCGACGGGGUUUAUACUCAACAUUUUCCCGUACUUCGCCGCUUGUUUUAUCGUCAUCGCUGUUGAGAUGGAGCAGGACCUCACGGAGUUGGAGCGUGCAAGGCUGGAGCUGUUCGUCAAGAUAGUUACUAUGUUCGGGAUGUUGCUGCUCAUGGCCGUGAUGAUCUUCAGGAUCUAGAGGACCGCUGUUUGGAUCGAGAAGGCACAACGCCAGUCCCGACAAAGAACAGCGCUAAUUAACAGCCGCAGUACAGCAUGGACUCGUAUGACGACCCACUUCAUUUUGGGCACAUAAAUUACGCCGCUGCGGUGCCUUUGUUCUUAACUGAUAUAACAUUUUAUCCUUAUUAUGUAACUUUUUAAUCGAAUAAUAUUUUAAACAAAUGCUGACAGUGGAAUGAUGUACA
rnacentral:lncRNA from 1 species